GCGGAGGAAAAGAAACCAACAGGGAUUGCCUCAGUAACGGCGAGUGAAGCGGCAACAGCUCAAAUUUGAAAUCUGGCCUCGGCCCGAGUUGUAAUUUGUAGAGGAUGUUUCGGGCGUGGUCCGGUCUAAGUUCCUUGGAACAGGACGUCAUAGAGGGUGAGAAUCCCGUAUGUGACUGGGUGCCUAAGCCUAUGUGAAACUCCUUCGACGAGUCGAGUUGUUUGGGAAUGCAGCUCAAAAUGGGUGGUAAAUUUCAUCUAAAGCUAAAUACUGGCCAGAGACCGAUAGCGCACAAGUAGAGUGAUCGAAAGAUGAAAAGCACUUUGGAAAGAGAGUUAAACAGCACGUGAAAUUGUUGAAAGGGAAGCGUUUACAAUCAGACUUGCGCGCGGUUGAUCAUCCGGUGUUCUCACCGGUGCACUCUGCCGCGCUCAGGCCAGCAUCAGUCCUGGUGGUUGGAUAAAGGUCGUGGGAACGUGGCUCUCCGGAGUGUUAUAGCCCACGGCGUCAUGCGGCCUACCGGGACUGAGGACCGCGCUUCGGCUAGGAUGCUGGCGUAAUGGUUGUCAACGACCCGUCUUGAAACACGGACCAAGGAGUCUAACAUUUGUGCGAGUGUUUGGGUGUCAAACCCGUACGCGUAAUGAAAGUGAACGGAGGUGAGAACCCUUAAGGGUGCAUCAUCGACCGGUCCAGAAGUCUUCGGAUGGAUCUGAGUAGUAGCAUGAACGUUGGGACCCGAAAGAUGGUGAACUAUUCCCAGGUAGAGUGAAGCCAGAGGAAACUCUGGUGGAGGCUCGCAGAGGUUCUGACGUGCAAAUCGAUCUUCAAACCCAGGAAUAGGGGCGAAAGACUAAUCGAACCAU
rnacentral:rRNA from 1 species